AGUAGCUCAAUUGGCAGAGCAGCGGUCUCCAAAACCGCAGGUUGGGGGUUCGAUUCCCUCCUG
rnacentral:tRNA from 6 species